GGCAUCCAGGUUGACUUUGACAGCUGAUUCUGCUUCGGUUGGAAAUCUUCUGCUUUCAGAUUCGCAUAUCACUAUAAUGGAUGUAUGUUAUCUGAGACUUGUUUGUAUUUGUGUGCAUGAGACUUUUCAAUAAUUUCCUUAAUUAACUUGCAGCAGGCAUACCUUGAAAUGAAGAUUGCGUAGUUUAGUUAAGUGGGUGAAACUUGAAUUCUAUUUUGAAGAAUUCUUAUAUCCAUGAAACAAUCUUGCUGAAAGUUUUGAGUUUUGCAUGUGAAAGUUCAUGCUUAUAUUUUAAGAGGAAGGAGUCUAGUGCAUAUGAUGUGGGAUUGUUUGGACAUGACUACAUGAACUAAUAGUAAAGUUUUCUGUGGUUUAAGUUUUUGGAGUUUUUAACGAUCUGUUAUUGCAACAUUGGUACUGCUUAACUGGAACCAUCUUCU
rnacentral:lncRNA from 1 species